rnacentral:tRNA from 1 species
GGCUUGAUAGCUUAGCUGGUAAAGUGCUCGUCUAGUAUACAAGAGUCCUGGAUUCGAAUCCCAGCCGAGCAC